UUACGUCUUCGGGGCGGGGUGCGAUUCCCCACCGGCGGUAUGACCUUCACGGGUCGAGCCCGCGAGCGCCUGCUCAACUCCCAUUGAGCAGGGUCAGCAGACCUGGUAAGAAGCCAGGGCCGACGGUAUAGUCCGGAUGAAAGAAGAUGUGC
rnacentral:ncRNA from 2 species